UACGGAGGGUGCAAGCGUUGUUCGGAAUCACUGGGCGUAAAGAGCGUGUAGGCGGCCAGGUAGGUCUGCUGUGAAAACUCGAGGCUCAACCUCGAGACGUCGGCGGAAACCAUCUGGCUAGAGUCCGGAAGAGGAGAGUGGAAUUCCUGGUGUAGCGGUGAAAUGCGCAGAUAUCAGGAAGAACACCCGUGGCGAAGGCGGCUCUCUGGGACGGUACUGACGCUGAGACGCGAAGCGUGGGAGCGAACGG
rnacentral:rRNA from 1 species